rnacentral:rRNA from 1 species
GAUGAACGCUGGCGGCGUGCCUAAUACAUGCAAGUCGAGCGAACAGACGAGGAGCUUGCUCCUUCGACGUUAGCGGCGGACGGGUGAGUAACACGUAGGUAACCUACCUAUAAGACUGGGAUAACUUCGGGAAACCGGAGCUAAUACCGGAUAAUAUUUCGAACCGCAUGGUUCGAUAGUGAAAGAUGGCUUUGCUAUCACUUAUAGAUGGACCUGCGCCGUAUUAGCUAGUUGGUAAGGUAACGGCUUACCAAGGCAACGAUACGUAGCCGACCUGAGAGGGUGAUCGGCCACACUGGAACUGAGACACGGUCCAGACUCCUACGGGAGGCAGCAGUAGGGAAUCUUCCGCAAUGGGCGAAAGCCUGACGGAGCAACGCCGCGUGAGUGAUGAAGGUCUUCGGAUCGUAAAACUCUGUUAUUAGGGAAGAACAAAAGUGUAAGUAACUGUGCACGUCUUGACGGUACCUAAUCAGAAAGCCACGGCCAACUACGUG